AAGUCGUAACAAGGUUUCCGUAGGUGAACCUGCGGAAGGAUCAUUAACACGGUUAAACCCCCCUGUGAAUUUUAUCGCUCUUGCAGACGCCGGCAAGUUUGCAAUCCCUGGUAAAUCAUUGUGAACAUCAGGGACCUCUAACCCCGGUAGAUCUUUCGCUGCAAUUUGAGCGCUUGGCAACUAGUGUCUGAAAGUGUCGCUGUGUAAGGAAAACGCUUUACGAUCGCUGGAGGCCGAACACCGGCCGGUGACCGGGCUGCUGUGGCUUUAUGUCCCCUAUAUUUACCCCACUACCUUAUCUCGGGUCGCAGGAAACUGCUAUCAACCGAACAACUGUUAACAAUGGAUAUCUUGGUUCUC
rnacentral:misc_RNA from 1 species